GAUGAACGCUGGCGGCGUGCCUAAUACAUGCAAGUCGAGCGAACAGAUGAGGAGCUUGCUCCUCUGACGUUAGCGGCGGACGGGUGAGUAACACGUGGAUAACCUACCUAUAAGACUGGGAUAACUUCGGGAAACCGGAGCUAAUACCGGAUAAUAUAUUGAACCGCAUGGUUCAAUAGUGAAAGACGGUUUUGCUGUCACUUAUAGAUGGAUCCGCGCCGCAUUAGCUAGUUGGUAAGGUACCGGCUUACCAAGGCAACGAUGCGUAGCCAACCUGAGAGGGUGAUCGGCCACACUGGAACUGAGACACGGUCCAGACUCCUACGGGAGGCAGCAGUAGGGAAUCUUCCGCAAUGGGCGAAAGCCUGACGGAGCAACGCCGCGUGAGUGAUGAAGGUCUUCGGAUCGUAAAACUCUGUUAUUAGGGAAGAACAAAUGUGUAAGUAACUAUGCACGUCUUGACGGUACCUAAUCAGAAAGCCACGGCUAACUACGUG
rnacentral:rRNA from 1 species